CCGGAGGAAGGUGGGGAUGACGUCAAAUCAUCAUGCCCCUUAUGACCUGGGGUACCCACGGGGUACAAUGGGCAGAACAAAGGGCAGCGAAACCGCGAGGUUAAGCCAAUUCCACAAAUCUGUUUUCAGUUCGGAUUGCAGUUUGCAACUUGACUGCGUGAAGCUGGAAUCGGUAGUAAUCGCGGAUCAGCAUGCCGCGGUGAAUACGUUUCCGGGCCUUGUACACACCGCCCGUCACACCACGAGAGUUUGUAACACCCGAAGUCGGUGAGGUAACCUUUUUGGAGCCAGCCGCCGAAGGUGGGACAGAUGAUUGGGGUGAAGUCGUAACAAGGUAGCC
rnacentral:rRNA from 1 species